rnacentral:lncRNA from 1 species
ACUGCACUCCAGCCUGGGGAACAAAGCAAGACUCUGUCUCAAAAUAAGAAAAAAAAAUAGCACUACUAAACAGAACAGUCACAAAGCUUAGCUUUUCUCUUUAUACUACUAAUAGUGUCAUAAGAUGGUUCAUACAUGUGCCAUACAUGAGUCCUAUGAGGGGAACCUGUGAAAUUUCAUACUGAGCUAAAGCCCAUGCUGUGGGCUCUGGGCAGCUUGCAACACACUUUCCCAGCAGGUCAAGGGCCUCUACUCCUUCUUUUUUUUUUU